UACGUAGGGGGCAAGCGUUAUCCGGAUUUACUGGGUGUAAAGGGAGCGUAGACGGCAGUGCAAGUCUGGAGUGAAAGGCGGGGGCUCAACCCCCGGACUGCUCUGGAAACUGUACGGCUGGAGUGCAGGAGAGGUAAGUGGAAUUCCUAGUGUAGCGGUGAAAUGCGUAGAUAUUAGGAGGAACACCAGUGGCGAAGGCGGCUUACUGGACUGUAACUGACGUUGAGGCUCGAAAGCGUGGGUAGCAAACAGG
rnacentral:rRNA from 1 species